UACGGAGGGUGCGAACGUUAAUCGGAAUCACUGGGCGUAAAGCGCGCGUAGGCGGUCUGUUAAGUGGGAUGUGAAAUCCCCGGGCUUAACCUGGGAAUUGCAUUUCAAACUGGCCGACUAGAGUACGGUAGAGGGAGGUAGAAUUUCCUGUGUAGCGGUGAAAUGCGUAGAUAUAGGAAGGAAUACCAGUGGCGAAGGCGGCCUCCUGGAUCGAUACUGACGCUGAGGCGCGAAAAGCGUGGGGAGCAAACAGGG
rnacentral:rRNA from 1 species